UGACCUAUUGGAUGAGAUUGUCAAUCUAA
rnacentral:sRNA from 1 species